GCAUCCUUGGUGUAGCGGUAACACACAAUCUUUAUAUGUAAAACGCUCCAUGAAUAAGAUUAGGUCUGGGGUUCGACCCCCGAGGACGCA